CUGAAUCUGCUUCACUCUACUCCUGCAACAACUAUCAACACCCUGGUGAAUGGUUUGGAAUCGGUUCUUGAUGCUAUAAUCAUAAUCAUAGUUUCAAAUAAUUAUUCAAAUAUAAAACAUGUUAUUUCAUAACAUUUAUCAACAUUUUCUAAAUAUAUAUAUACAUAAAAAAAUAUUUUUUUGAAACAAAAUAAAGAAAACAUCUUCACUUCAUCCUAGCAUAAAUACAAAUUUUAAUCAUAACAUAUAAUAAGUAACCGUCAACAUAGAUGAAAAAAACAACUCAACCAAGUUAGGUACAUUAUGAAUCGUAGCAUCAUAAUUUUAAAAUAAUCCAUAUGAUCGUUAUCGUCUUCAUAAUGCUAAUUCUUAUACUUAUUCGUAACCUUAUCCAGGUAUCUUAUUCUUAUGGGGCGUCCCCCAACUCAACUAAUUAGCCCUACCGUCCAUUCUAAGAUUUGUAAAUGUCCCGGAGUACGUAUCCAUCAGACAAUAAUUCAUAAGGGCAAAACUAGCCCGAUUCGUACAGGCACUAUCGAUCCAAUUCAUAAUUUGUAAGGGCAACUGCGGGCCGAGUCAUAUGGGCGAUAGUCUAGAUAGUGAAUCCAUAUUUUAAUCUACCUAUUAUUUUUCUAGGUGAGGUGUUCUCUCAUGUUGACCCAUCAUCUAAUCUUAUCAUAAUCUAACAUUAUCGUAAUCUAAAAUACAUGUCAUCUAAGCAGCAUGAUUAAAAUAACNNNNNNNNNNNNNNNNNNAUAAAUAGCCGCAAUACAAUUCAAAACAUAUAGGAAUUACUGAAUUACAAUUUAUAAAUCAUAAAACAUAAAUUAUAAACAUAAAUCAUAAAUCAUAAAAUAUAAACCCUAAAUCACAAAUCAUAAAAUAUGAAUCAUAAAUCAUGAAUCAUAAUCAUAAAUUAUAAAACAUAAACCAUAAAUCAUAAAUCACAGAUCAUAAAACAUGAAUCAUAAAUUAUGUAAAUCAGUCAAUUUAAUAAAACAUAACCUAAGCAACGUACAAAAUUUACCCUCUUAAAUCAACCCACCUUUUAAACCAAACGGUAAAAGUCCAACACGAGAAAUCAAUGUCUUCGUCUAUAAAUUUUGAUUUGUCCCUCGGAAUUAGGAGCAAUUAAAAUUCUCUUAUUUAGAUUAGAUGAACUUUAGGUAUUUUUUUGAAUGAAUGAUUUGACGACUUUUGUCGAUUUAUACGAGUUGGAUGAAUUUCAGUAUAUGUUUGAUUUCGAUUUUAAUUUAUUCUAGCCUUAAAGAUGAGAAUAUGAUGCUCUGUAACCUGACUCCUUCGAACGUUCUUCGUUCUCAGUAGAAAAUUUCUAAUAUCAGGAUUCAGAAUCAUCACACAGAGCGUUUUUUGAAAGAUAUUUUCAACAUCUUAAUAAGCAUUUAAAAAUGAAGAUCUGGUAACGUACUACGCAUCCUCCAAGCACGUAGUAUCCAAUCCGAAUUCACAAAGUGCCAUAAACAAUCAGUGGCAUUUCAUAGCUGAUACUGUACAUUUUCAACAGCCUGAUUUCAGUUCGUUAACAUAUAUUACCAGAUUGAGCCGAGUCUGCGUUAGCAUUGUCCAGUGACAUAGGAUCCGUGGAUGAUUUCUGUGAACCUUCGCUUCCCGCUUCCAUAACUAGCUUUGGCUUUUCUCACCUGCUAACCAAAACCUGGAGAAGGAAUAACAUCGCCAGAUUAGAGAAACGAUAGAGUUCCGUCGAUCAUUUGCUGCCCACCGAGAGCGAUAAACAAACUCACCGGAGCUGCAGACGAGACCGAUCGAUUAAAGCAACGAACACAGUGAAGAACACUAGGGUUUCCUUUUCAGCGUUAUAAAGAAGAGUGUUCAGUAAUAUUGAGCAGGGAAGAAGAAUGGCGGGAUUUCGAUCUUUGCAGGAGUAACCGAAAAUACCCUUCCGGGAUUUGGGGUUUUGAACUUUUUGGAUUCACUUUUUCUACCGUAGCUGGAAAUCUUAAC
rnacentral:lncRNA from 1 species